CUGAUAUGUCAACAACACAUUAAGAUAUUUUUAUCUGUAUAAGUGUAAAGUUUGCUAAGUUAGCAUCAAUGUAGUCGCCACUUUUAUCAUAUUAUCAUGUCUGCUGUUUGUAAAACGAACCUGCCUGUCAUAGGUGCAUUUCAAAGAAUCAGCCAGGUUGCUGUGGUUACACAAAGAAGGUCUGGGCUCGCAGCUUUGCACAGUUCCUCCUGUAUUUAAAAGGAUCGCCGGAUGUCCGGGACAUCGGCUGUACGGGAAGCGAGCCGGCCUGAGCUACGAGAGGGAGGACUUGCCUGCAGAGAUGUGUCUCCCCUGAUGUACUUGGCACCUUCAAUAACAGCAAGGUAGGAAAAGCGAAGCUGAUCUGCUGUCUGAAUCAAGCCCAUACGGUAGCGUCUCAUCUC